GAUUUGCGUGAAGGAUAGAAGCGGCAUCCUUUUUUUGUAUUUGCUUCUUUUUUUGCUUUAGCAAUAUAGCUAAGGAGCAAUAAAAAAGAUAUAGCGAAUAGCCUGACCCCUC
rnacentral:sRNA from 1 species